GGCUCCUCCCUCUCCAAGAUGGUGUCUUUGCUGCAGUCGGAGAGGGUUCUCUACCUGGUCCAGGGAGAAAAAAAGGUUCGGGCCCCGCUCUCCUAGCUCUACUUCUGCUGCUAUUGUAGCGAGCUGCGGUCGCUGGAAUGUGUGUUUCACGAGGUGGACUCUCAUUAUUGUCCCAGUUGCUUAGAAAAUAUGCCAUCGGCUGAAGCCAAACUUAAAAAAAAUAGAUGUGCCAACUGCUUUGACUGUCCCAGCUGUAUGCAUACCCUCUCCACCCGGGCAACAAGUAUCUCCACACAGCUUCCAGAUGACCCAGCCAAGACCACCAUGAAGAAAGCCUAUUACCUGGCCUGUGGAUUUUGUCGCUGGACGUCUAGAGAUGUGAGCAUGGCAGACAAAUAUGUUGCUAGUGGUGGUUGGCAGGAACCUGAAAAUCGUCACAACCAACGGAUGAACAAAUUGAUUGAAUAUUACCAGCAGCUUGCUCAGAAAGAGAAAGUUGAGCGAGAUCGCAAGAAACUGGCACAGCGUAGAAACUAUAUGCCUCUAGCUUUUUUGCAACACACUACUCAUGUAGUGGACAAAUAUGGUCUUGGAACCAGGCUUCAGCAACCAUGAGCUGGUACAUCUAUCAGUACCCUUGUCGGACUUUCCCUUAAAGAAGGUGAAGACCUGAAAGAGAUAAAGAUUGAGCCAGCUCAGGCCGUAGAUGAAGUAGAACCUUUACCUGAAGACUAUUAUACAAGACCAGUAAACCUAACAGAGGUGACCACCCUUCAGCAGCAUCUCUUGCAGCCUGACUUCCAGCCAAUCUGUGCUUCAUGCUCUAUCCUUGCCACAAACAUCUUCUGAUCAAACAGUCUCUACUUUGCUGGAAAUGUGAACAUAAUUUGAGCAAGCCUGAAUUUAAUCCAACAUCUAUCAAAUUCAAAAUCCAGCUGGUUGCUGUCAAUUAUAUUCCAGAAGUGAGAAUCAUGUCAAUUCCCAACCUUUGCUACAUGAAAGAGAGCCAGGUCCUCCUGACUCUUACAAAUCCAGUGGAGAACCUCACCCAUGUGACUCUGAUGGAGUGUGAGGAGGGAGACCCCGAUAAUGUCAAUAGCACUGCUAAGGUGGUGGUGCCUCUCAAAGAGCUGGUUUUAGCUGGCAAGGAUGCAGCCGCAGAGUAUGAUGAGUUGGCAGAACCCCAAGAUUUUCAGGACGAUCCUGACAUUAUAGCCUUCAGAAAAGCCAACAAAGUAGGUAUUUUCAUCAAAGUUACCCCACAACAUGAGGAGGGUGAAGUGACCGUGUGCUUUAAGAUGAAGCAUGAUUUUAAAAACCUGGCAGCUCCCAUCCGCCCCAUUGAAGAAAGUGACCAGGGCACAGAAAUCAUCUGGCUCAUCCAGCAUGUGGAACUCAGCCUGGGCCCACUUCUACCUUGAAAGGUUUCCCUGACAAGCAGAUCCCAAAGGACAGUGUUACCAUAAACCUGUGUGAAAAUGUGGAAGCCACUGCUUCCUUAGGCCUUGUUUAUAACAAUGUACCCAUACACUACUGAAGCCUGUUCCUAGGAAAGUGGGAGGAGGGGCCAGACAUUAGGAACACAGAGUAACUGCUGUGCUCCUCUUGUUGUCACCUCUGGUGACACAUUGAUAAGUCUGUGUCUCCCUCACUGAGCCCUGCACGUUGAAUAACAACAGUUUAGUUCCAUCCCAGUAAAGGGAAUG